AAAAAUAACAGGGGCCAUCUUGACUCUAAUGUUCUGCUCCAAUCAGGUUCCCAGACCAGAGGACUGUUGUUAGGUGAUUGGCUGUGAACACCCUGAGGCCAGUGCCCCUCGCUGCUUGGCACUCGGAGAUGCCUGAUUAGCACCUUUAAUCCCUUACCAGUGAGGCAGGUGGAAUUGGCCCCAUUUUACAGAUGGGGAGACUGAGGUGAGGAAGGUUAAAGCACUCAGUGGUGGGCAUGCCCCCUGGAGCCGGCCCUCCUUUCUUCCAGCUGUGAGUACCCAGGAAGCUGCACCGUGUGGCCUGGAGCUGUCUAUCUGUCCUUCCAGCCACCUGUCUGUCCAGCCACCCUUCCACAGACUGAGGCUUGACACCGGAGCAUCUGUACAGAGCAAGGAGAAGACAAGAACAUGCUCUAAAGCCCUUCACAGCAAGACCCAGGAAGCCGCGGGCAAACUCAGACUCGAAGCCCUCCCGCCUCCUGCCCACAAUGGCCUCUGCUGACAAGAAUGGCGGGAGCGUGUCCUCUGUGUCCAGCAGCCGCCUGCAGAGCCGGAAGCCACCCAACCUCUCCAU
rnacentral:lncRNA from 1 species